AGGAGGCCCAAAUUAAUUGGUUUUAAUCACUAUAAAUUUCCUUCCCAAUAAAAUUUCAAGAAUUUCCAAUCAUGCUGAUUUAUAUGUGUAAUUAGAAAUCCAUUCACAGAUGUCACACUGCUAGGUGGUGGGUAGUGUAAGCCCCGGCUUAACUCCAGCUAGGGGCCUGAGCCAUGAAAAACGAUAAGGGUGAACUUGGCAGGAAGUUGGGACACAGAACACGCCCCCACCCCUGGAGGCUCCACCCCCAAAGUCACGCGGGGGCCACUGACCAGCAGGCAUAGACUUCACCUUCUCUGGCCCCCGGCCCUUCCCGGCCUGGACAGGAGCAGACCGAAGGGGCUUGGCCUGUACCACACAGGCUGUGCCGGGGGUAAUGAGGCCUCCACGGCUGGCUUGUUUAGAGACGCUGGCACCCAGAAAAGGCUCAAGACUCAGAAUCUGUUGCGACAGGAGAGGCACCACUUCAGCUGAGCGAGA
rnacentral:lncRNA from 1 species